AACGAACGCUGGCGGCAUGCCUAACACAUGCAAGUCGAACGAAGUCUUCGGACUUAGUGGCGCACGGGUGCGUAACGCGUGGGAAUCUGCCCUUGGGUACGGAAUAACUCAGAGAAAUUUGUGCUAAUACCGUAUAAUGUCUUCGGACCAAAGAUUUAUCGCCCAAGGAUGAGCCCGCGUAAGAUUAGCUAGUUGGUGGGGUAAAAGCCUACCAAGGCGACGAUCUUUAGCUGGUCUGAGAGGAUGAUCAGCCACACUGGGACUGAGGCACGGCCCAGACUCCUACGGGAGGCAGCAGUGGGGGAUAUUGGACAAUGGGCGAAAGCCUGAUCCAGCAAUGCCGCGUGAGUGAUGAAGGCCCUAGGGUUGUAAAGCUCUUUUACCAGGGAUGAUAAUGACAGUACCUGGAGAAUAAGCUCCGGCUAACUCCGUG
rnacentral:rRNA from 1 species